AACACAAAGUCCCAGCUCUGCUCUCACUCGGGCAGCCUGGACCAGAGCUGAUGAAGGCGUGAGCUAUGCAGUGAAGAUAAAUGUUUCUCCUCUCCCCACCUCCCCCAGUCUUCAGGGCAGCAACCACCUCAGGACAGGAAAAUAUUGUUAUAGCUAAUCCUGCAGAGCAAACAGUCAGCAUCUCUCUCUUUAUACAACUCAGGGUUCCCAGCAAGAAAACACAGAAUUUCUAUGCAAAAGCUAUAGAGAACCCAGUAGUGAUUAUUGAUUCCUUACAGGAGUGAUUAUAAUUUGCUCCAGCUCAUUUAACCACAGCUCAGCAGAAGGAAGCAGCAAAGACCCUGCAGUGAAAGGACAGGGUUCUGCUCUGUUCUGCCCAGGCUUGGAAGGAUGCUUGUUUUGUUACUCUUUAAAAGUAUAUUAUUUAUUAAAGUGUAUUAUUUAU